rnacentral:rRNA from 1 species
UACGUAGGGUGCGAGCGUUGCCCGGAUUUAUUGGGCGUAAAGGGCGCGUAGGCGGUCACGCACGUCCGUUGUGAAAUCGCUCGGCUCAACUGGGCGGGGUCAGCGGAUACGGCGUGGCUGGAGCAAGCUAGGGGGCAAUGGAAUUCCCGGUGUAGUGGUGGAAUGCGUAGAUAUCGGGGAGGAACACCAGUGGCGAAGGCGGUUGCCUGGAGCUUUGCUGACGCUGAUGCGCGAAACGUGGGGAGCGAGUCCGG